CCCCACAACCAUGUCCUCCCUCUCUUUUGGCUACACCAUGAAACCAUUCCUUGGAAUGUUAAAUGUCAGAACUUCCAAGCUUCAAGAAGCAAAGGUUCUCUUCAUCUUCAUCUUCAUCUUCAUCUUCUUCUUCUUCAUCCUUGAAGAACUUGAUUGGUUGGAGGUUGGAGAGAAAGUUCCAGAGUGGAGUGGCUUGUUCUCUAUAGCUAUUUGGGGCUUUGAAGGAAGAUUGUCUUAGCUUGUGGGAAUGAGUUGGAGUGGAGCUUUUUCAUGGUACGAGAAAGCUAUGGAGAACACAAGGAUAUCAUUUGGGUGAAAAGAAGAAGAAAACAGGCCCAAAAUCACUGUAGCAGAGUUACCAUAGCGAUAUCAAUGUAGCAAACAUUGUAGCAGCGGGAUUGUUUGAAGCUGCUUGUCUAGAACUUCAUGCGGCCCCCAUACAGCCCGUAUGGAGGCUGUAUGCAGCCCAUAUGUACCCCCGUAUGAAGCGAAAAUCUAGGUUUUGAGUGCCAUACGGCCCCCAUAUGGCAAGUAUGCUGUGAAGGGUAUAAAUGCAGAUUUCUAGGGCAGAAAUGGGAGACUUUUUGGACAGAUUUUGAGAGGGCUUCUUGGAGACUUCUUGGGAGACCUUGAGCGACCUUGGGAUGAAGAAGAGCAAGGAAACAAGGAGAUCAUCUAAGGGCAAGGUCAAAGGCUCCCAAGGAAAGAAGAUAUCAUCAUUCAAUGUGGAGAUCGACAACUAUUUGAAGGAAGGAGACCCGUGGCUAGAGGAAGCAUCAUACGGCAUUCCUUUGGCA